rnacentral:rRNA from 1 species
UAGGGAAUCUUCCGCAAUGGACGAAAGUCUGACGGAGCAACGCCGCGUGAGUGAAGAAGGAUUUCGGUUCGUAAAACUCUGUUGUUAGGGAAGAAAAAAUGUAUAGUAACUAUAUACAAAAGAGACGGUACCUAACCAGAAAGCCACGGCUAACUACGUGCCAGCAGCCGCGGUAAUACGUAGGUGGCAAGCGUUGUCCGGAAUUAUUGGGCGUAAAGCGCGCGCAGGCGGACUAGCCAGUCAGUCUUAAAAGUUCGGGGCUUAACCCCGUGAUGGGAUUGAAACUACUAGUCUAGAGUAUCGGAGAGGAAAGUGGAAUUCCUAGUGUAGCGGUGAAAUGCGUAGAUAUUAGGAAGAACACCAGUGGCGAAGGCGACUUUCUGGACGAACACUGACGCUGAGGCGCGAAAGCCAGGGGAGCGAACGGG